rnacentral:rRNA from 1 species
CUACGGAGGGGGUUAGCGUUGUUCGGAAUUACUGGGCGUAAAGCGCACGUAGGCGGAUUGGAAAGUUGGGGGUGAAAUCCCAGGGCUCAACCCUGGAACUGCCUCCAAAACUAACAGUCUAGAGUUCGAGAGAGGUGAGUGGAAUUCCAAGUGUAGAGGUGAAAUUCGUAGAUAUUUGGAGGAACACCAGUGGCGAAGGCGGCUCACUGGCUCGAUCCUGACGCUGAGGUGCGAAAGCGUGGGGAGCAAACAGGAUUAGAUACCCUAGUAGUCC